GACGAACGCUGGCGGCGUGCUUAACACAUGCAAGUCGAACGGAAAGGCCCUGCUUGCUGGGUACUCGAGUGGCGAACGGGUGAGUAACACGUGGGUGAUCUGCCCUGCACUUCGGGAUAAGCCUGGGAAACUGGGUCUAAUACCGGAUAGGAGCCAUUUUUAGUGUGAUGGUUGGAAAGUUUUUUCGGUGUAGGAUGAGCUCGCGGCCUAUCAGCUUGUUGGUGGGGUAAUGGCCUACCAAGGCGGCGACGGGUAGCCGGCCUGAGAGGGUGGACGGCCACAUUGGGACUGAGAUACGGCCCAGACUCCGACGGGAGGCAGAAGUGGGGAAGAUUGCACAAUGGGCGCAAGCCUGAUGCAGCGACGCCGCGUGGGGGAUGACGGCCUUCGGGUUGUAAACUCCUUUCGCUAGGGACGAAGCUUUUUGUGACGGUACCUAGAUAAGAAGCACCGGCUAACUACGUG
rnacentral:rRNA from 1 species